UAGGGAAUCUUCCACAAUGGACGCAAGUCUGAUGGAGCAACGCCGCGUGAGUGAAGAAGGUUUCGGACCGUAAAGCUCUGUUGUUGGUGAAGAAGGAUAGAGGUAGUAACUGGCCUUUAUUUGACGGUAAUCAACCAGAAAGUCACGGCUAACUACGUGCCAGCAGCCGCGGUAAUACGUAGGCGGCAAGCGUUGUCCGGAUUUAUUGGGCGUAAAGCGAGCGCAGGCGGAAGAAUAAGUCUGAUGUGAAAGCCCUCGGCUUAACCGAGGAAUUGCAUCGGAAACUGUUUU
rnacentral:rRNA from 1 species